rnacentral:tRNA from 1 species
GUUAGAGAGGAGCAAUGGUUGCUCAGUGGGCUCAUGCCCCAAAGGUUAUUGGUUCAAAUCCUAUCUCUAACA